rnacentral:misc_RNA from 1 species
GAUGAAGAACAUAGCGAAAUGCGAUACGUAAUGUGAAUUGCAGAAUUCAGUGAAUCAUCGAAUCUUUGAACGCACAUUGCGCCUGCCAGCACUCUGGCAGGCAUGCCUGUUCGAGCGUCAUUUCAACCAUCAAGCCCUAGGCUUGCGUUGGAGCCCUGCGGCUGCCGCAGGCCCCUAAAAGCAGUGGCGGGCUCGCUAUCACACCGAGUGCAGUAGAUUACUCUUCGCUCAGGGCGUGUGGCGGGUUCCAGCCGUGAAACCCCCUACUUCUCAAGGUUGACCUCGGAUCAGGUAGGAAUACCCGCUGAACUUAAGCAUAUCAAUAAGCGGAGGA